AUUCACGCAAUUGCAAAUGCUCGUGGUGAGGUCUUUGUAAAUAACAGUGAGGAGAUUAAUUCAAUUGAACCAAAACAUUCACCGCGAAGUCAUAUACUUUCUAUUGGAUUAACUUAAAUCUGGCUCAAAUCCUCCAGGUGUGAAGUUCGUCUGCCCGUGUAAUAGGGCAAACGUAUCGGUAUAUACACAGUGAUUUUGUGCUACGUUUUAAAUUUUCGUUGAAGGUGACAAGUGUUAAAAAUAGUAAAUUCAGUCGAGUAAGGAAAGAGAGAGAGAGAGAGAAAAAAUAAUUGAGUCUUUUAAUUGGAUUUCAUGACUUCUGUUCAUCCCAAAAUGCAACGCCGGUCUAUAUAGUGCGUGCGAUGUAAAUGGUUCGGUUGAGACAUAGUGUGUCUGUAUAUAUUCCUAAAACAGCAUGAGAGAAGGUUACGGAAAUAUCGACUGAUGUGGUGAAAAAAAAGAGGGAAAAAGAAAACCGUGUGUCUAGGAUCAAUCGCUAUACAACCGUCGAACGGAAAGACGUGAUAUCAUUAAAAGUAACGAGAUUAACCAGUGUUUAUAAGGACUUUGGCCAAACUUGAUCGAUUUUUGUGCACGUGUAUUGUGUUCAGUAUUAACAACACUACUCGGUGAUCGCGUUAUCUUGGAACUAAAAAAAAGAGAAGUUACAACAACGAAAUCUUAACACCCCUCCCCACCACGUCUUUUCAUCACCAAAAAAAAACCCCUGUAAAGAUGGACUGGUUCCGGAUAAACGAUUUCUUCAUGUCCUUUGUGACACUGUUAACCUAUAUUUUGGACCAAUUUUACAGCAUAGAGUACCGAAAAGGAUUCCAAAGAUUCUUCUCAGUGCUGAGGAAAAUGGGGAACUCGAUUGCUGGUCCAUCUUGGAAGGAUCCCGGGGAUAUCCGAAAGAAGGAGAUUCUUGAGUCCAGGAACCGCUACAUUGACGAACAGUUCAAACUAGAUGACGACGAUGAUCUAGAUGAGGUGGAUUCGGCCGUCAAAGGAACUAAAGUAAAUGUCGCAAAAGUCCGAGCCGCUGUGAAAUUUAGAGGUGUAUACAACCACCACCGGAAACUGAAGAAAAUGCCGUCUGUUUUAAACGAAAUGGAAAUCAAAGCCAUGGAAAUUAACCCAAAAGACCACAGUUACCCCUUUGAGAACCUCAUUUUUGAAGGAGGCGGCAAUAAGGGACUUGCAUACUGCGGUGCUGUCAGGGCUCUGGAAGAACUUGGGAUGAUCAGUCAGAUCAAACGGUUUGCCGGUGCCAGCGCAGGCGCAAUGACAGCUUCCUUAAUGGCGGUUGGGUACGAUUCAAAAGACAUUCAAGGCUUCCUCAGUCAGGAUAUGUCCAAAAUGUUCCUAGAUGCCAAGUUUGGGGUGCUUAGUCUUCUGCCUAAUCUUCUGACCGGUUACGGUUGGAAUCCCGGCAACAGAAUCUACAACUGGUUCGGGGAAGUGAUUGAAAAGAAGAUGGGCAAUAAAGACGUAACUUUUGGAGAGCUUUACGAAAAGACUGGAAAAGAACUGUGUGUUGUUGUGACAAAUUUGAACCACAUGACCGAGGAAUAUUGUCACGUAAAAACUACACCGGAUAUGCCUAUCAGAUUAGCAGUGCGCAUGUCCAUGGCAAUUCCAGGAAUGUUCCAAGCGACCAAUUACACAUACAACGGAGAAACAAACACAUAUGUUGACGGCGGAGUAAUAUGUAACUAUCCCAUCCACUGCUACGACGGAUGGUGGCUCUCUAUGGAUUCAAACGACAGUUUCUUAGAAAAACUCCAGCCAUUAGAUGAUCUCCCAAAACUGCUUGACAGAAGGCGAAGGUUCGAUCGUCGCCACAAGGAUCCAACCAAAACACUGGGCUUUCUACUGUAUGCAGACUCGGAGACGGAUGUGUUCCGGUAUAUGUUGGAGAAAAGAAUAGGCGUGCACCUUGAUCCGAGCCCAAAUACUAAACUAGCAAAGAUGAAAAUGGAACAGAAAAAGGUUCAAGAAAAAGCCAAAAGAGAACACAGACGCGUUAUGAUGGCGGUGGACGAGUUUUUGAAGGUAUUGAAGAAACACAACUUGGAUAAAGAUCACACGAUUAGCCGGUCAGAAUUGGAAAAUGCUUUCAAAGAUGUAAGACGACUUCUCUAAAAAGAGCAGUGAAAUGCUUUUCGGAAAAGAUUGCACAGUACAGAAAGCCUUUGAUCUCCUUGACAAAGAUAAAAAUGGCGAGAUAAAUUUCAACGAGUUGAUGAACUUCAUACAAGGCACAGGGAUCAGUUUACAGCAGCGUUUUCUUGGUUACCAGAGGAGAGACAUUAACGGCAUCUUUGAAUUUUUCGACACACUCCAGAACGCGCUGCUAACAAACGUUAAAAGGGCAUUUGUUAAUGAUGAAGAUUUGGAUAGAACUGUCGGAAUAAACACAGGUCACGUGGGGACCUCAGAUUUUACGUUGGAAGAGGAAGACAGAAGCUUUGCUGUAGCUCAAGGCUACAAGUCGACCAUGACCUUUUUGAGAUACUUCGCCGCUAAAGAGGAGAUUGCUAAAAACGACGAAUCGCUUCGGGAACGAAUCCGUUCUUUGUCUAGCACGGUAGAAAAUGACGUUGAAGAACAAGAUGAAAAUGAUGAUGACGAUAUCAUGGAAGAUAUGAAUGUUGUAGAUGGCGUCCAAGAUGUAAAAGAUGACGUUAUAAAAGGAAAAGAUGAACUAGAUGCUAAUUCUAACACGAGUAAUUCAAAAAAUGGACAUAUAUCGAAAGGAUGAUGCCGAAACUGACAGUUUUGCAGUUUAAAGCACUGGUGUCCGAAAAACCAGAAAGUGGUCUUGAAUGCCCAUUUGAUAUAAUGUUGGAAAUUCCAAGAGAGAUGGAAGUGCUAUUAGAUGGAAUACCCAACAUCGAAUUGUAACGUUCAUGCACAUGGUGAUUGCAUUUGCUUUAAGAUAUAGAUUCUUAUUGUGAUAAUUCUUUAUUCAUAAUUUGUGUUCGAAUAAAAUAUAUUUUUUUAACAUC
rnacentral:misc_RNA from 1 species